UCUACUAAUGAUGAGUAUUUGGAGAUGUAUGAAUCCAAGAUUUUAAUUAAACUCUAAUUUUGAGGUCCAU
rnacentral:snoRNA from 1 species